rnacentral:tRNA from 1 species
GGUCUCGUAGCUCAGGUGGAUAGAGCGUUGGCUUACUAAAGCCUUCAUCUUGAUGGUGUGGUUUCGAAUCCCACCGAGGCCA